rnacentral:tRNA from 1 species
GGUCGUGGCUCAGAGGAAGAGCGCUCGCCUCGCACGCGUGAGGCACUGGGUUCGAUCCUCAGCACCA